GACGAACGCUGGCGGCGUGCCUAAUACAUGCCAGUUGAGCGCUGAAGGUUGGUACUUGUCCCGACUGGAUGAGCAGCGAACGGGUGAGUAACGCGUGGGGAAUCUGCCUUUGAGCGGGGGACAACAUUUGGAAACGAAUGCUAAUACCGCAUAAAAACUUUAAACAUAAGUUUUAAGUUUGAAAGAUGCAAUUGCAUCACUCAAAGAUGAUCCCGCGUUGUAUUAGCUAGUUGGUGAGGUAAAGGCUCACCAAGGCGAUGAUACAUAGCCGACCUGAGAGGGUGAUCGGCCACAUUGGGACUGAGACACGGCCCAAACUCCUACGGGAGGCAGCAGUAGGGAAUCUUCGGCAAUGGACGAAAGUCUGACCGAGCAACGCUGCGUGAGUGAAGAAGGGUUUCGGAUCGUAAAACUCUGUUGGUAGAGAAGAACGUUGGUGAGAGUGGAAAGCUCAUCAAGUGACGGUAACUACCCAGAAAGGGACGGCUAACUACGUG
rnacentral:rRNA from 1 species